AUUGAACGCUGGCGGCAUGCCUUACACAUGCAAGUCGAACGGCAGCACGGGAGCAAUCCUGGUGGCGAGUGGCGAACGGGUGAGUAAUAUAUCGGAACGUGCCCAGUCGUGGGGGAUAACGCAGCGAAAGCUGUGCUAAUACCGCAUACGAUCUACGGACGAAAGCGGGGGAUCGCAAGACCUCGCGCGAUUGGAGCGGCCGAUAUCAGGUUAGCUAGUUGGUGAGGUAAAGGCUCACCAAGGCGACGAUCUGUAGCUGGUCGGAGAGGACGACCAGCCACACUGGAACUGAGACACGGUCAAGACUCCUACGGGAGGCAGCAGUGGGGAAUUUUGGACAAUGGGCGCAAGCCUGAUCCAGCAAUGCCGCGUGCAGGAUGAAGGCCUUCGGGUUGUAAACUGCUUUUGUACGGAGCGAAACGGUCUUUCCUAAUACGAGAGGCUAAUGACGGUACCGUAAGAAUAAGCACCGGCUAACUACGUGCCAGCCGCCGCCGUAA
rnacentral:rRNA from 1 species